CUAGACAAGCCAUAUACCGUGUUAUUCAGCGAAAUGUCAGCUUUCAUUGAAAAAACUAUGUUUCUAACAAUUACCGUUCAAAUGUUAUUAAUAUAAAUAUAAACUAUGCAUGUUUGGCGCAUGGGUUCGUCAAUCGACUUUAGGGCUUUCUAUAAUGAAGACCAUGUACAGUGACUCACGUCACAUUAUCUUGCUGAGGUUGUAAAAGUUAUUUAUCUUGUGUGUUUUCCAGCCAUUUCCCACAAGAUUAUUAAAAUAAUAUUUUACGGGAGAGUUACCAGGAACAGGAAGUGAACUGCACGAGCCUACAGCUGUACGAGCCUACAGUCUGACAAAGAAGAACACUGCCAUCUGCUGGGGAAAGGAAAGUGUCUACCUCUACUGUGGCUGUCGUACUCUGCUCCAGUGAAGAGGUGCUCCAGAAUGAAGUCAAGCAGCGUCCUCUGAAGUUUAGAGUUGUGGGUGUAGAGCAAGGGGCCCACACCUGCAAAUGCUAGUUCUGGGCCGUCAGGACAUCACAGAGAAAGGGGGGGGGGGGAGAUAAUGCAUGCACAUCGAUGGGGCAGAAGCCAUUAAUUGUUACAAUUCCGAACGGUCAGAUAGCAUACAACAUUGACAAGAAGCUGCCAUGUGGGUGGUUUGUUUCAGCUGAAAAAAUAUAUAUAGAUGCAACAUGCAACAAUUUCAAAGAUUUUACUGUUACAGUUCAUCUUAGGAAAUCAGUCAAUUGAAAUAAAUAAAUGAUGUCUUAAUCUAUGGAUUUCAUAUGACUAGGAAAACAGAUAUCACAAAAAAGAUAUCUUUUUUUUUAAAAGGUAGGGGCGUGAAUCAGAAAACCAGUCAGUAUCUGGUGUGACAACCAUUUUCCUCAUACAGCGCGACUCCUUCGCAUAGUUGAUCAUGCUGUUGAUUGUGGCCUAUGGAAUGUUGUCCCACUUCUCUUCAAUGGCUGUGCAAAGUUGCUGGCAGUAACUGU